rnacentral:rRNA from 1 species
UACGUAGGGGGCGAGCGUUGUCCGGAAUUACUGGGCGUAAAGCGUGCGCAGGCGGUAAGUUAAGUCUGAUGUGAAAGCCCCGGGCUCAACCUGGGAAUGGCAUUGGAAACUGGCUUGCUGGAGUGUGGCAGAGGGGGGUGGAAUUCCGCGUGUAGCAGUGAAAUGCGUAGAUAUGCGGAGGAACACCGAUGGCGAAGGCAAUCCCCUGGGCCUGUACUGACGCUGAGGCGCGAAAGCUAGGGGAGCAAACAGG